AUUGAACGCUGGCGGCAGGCCUAACACAUGCAAGUCGAGCGGAUGAAGGGAGCUUGCUCCUGGAUUCAGCGGCGGACGGGUGAGUAAUGCCUAGGAAUCUGCCUGGUAGUGGGGGAUAACGUCCGGAAACGGGCGCUAAUACCGCAUACGUCCUGAGGGAGAAAGUGGGGGAUCUUCGGACCUCACGCUAUCAGAUGAGCCUAGGUCGGAUUAGCUAGUUGGUGGGGUAAAGGCCUACCAAGGCGACGAUCCGUAACUGGUCUGAGAGGAUGAUCAGCCACACUGGAGCUGAGACACGGUCCAGACUCCUACGGGAGGCAGCAGUGGGGAAUAUUGGGCAAUGGGCGAAAGCCUGAUCCAGCCAUGCCGCGUGUGUGAAGAAGGUCUUCGGAUUGUAAAGCACGUUAAGUUGGGAGGAAGGGCAGUAAGUUAAUACCUUGCUGUUUUGACGUUACCAACAGAAUAAGCACCGGCUAACUUCGUG
rnacentral:rRNA from 1 species